rnacentral:rRNA from 1 species
UGAGGAAUAUUGGUCAAUGGGCGCAAGCCUGAACCAGCCAUGCCGCGUGCAGGAAGACGGUCCUAUGGAUUGUAAACUUCUUUUAUCUGGGGCGAAAAAGGGCCUUUUUAGGUCAACUGACGGUACCAAAUGAAUAAGCACCGGCUAACUCCGUGCCAGCAGCCGCGGUAAUACGGAGGGUGCAAGCGUUAUCCGGAAUCAUUGGGUUUAAAGGGUCCGCAGGCGGUCUUAUAAGUCAGUGGUGAAAGCCUACAGCUCAACUGUAGAACUGCCAUUGAUACUGUAAGACUUGAAUUCGAUCGAAGUGGGCGGAAUAUGACAUGUAGCGGUGAAAUGCUUAGAUAUGUCAUAGAACACCGAUAGCGAAGGCAGCUCACUAGGUCUGGAUUGACGCUCAGGGACGAAAGCGUGGGGAGCAAACA